rnacentral:tRNA from 1 species
GGCUCGGUAGCCUAGUUGGUAAAGCACUUGUCUAGGAAUAAGGGUCGUGAGUUCCAAUCUCACCUGAGCUA